rnacentral:rRNA from 1 species
CCUACGGGUGACAGCAGUGAGGAAUAUUGGUCAAUGGACGCGACUCUGAACCAGCCAAGUAGCGUGAAGGAUGACUGCCCUAUGGGUUGUAAACUUCUUUUAUAUGGGAAUAAAAUGUUCCACGUGUGGCAUUUUGUAUGUACCAUAUGAAUAAGGAUCGGCUAACUCCGUGCCAGCAGCCGCGGUAAUACGGAGGGUCCGAGCGUUAUCCGGAUUUAUUGGGUUUAAAGGGAGCGUAGGUGGAUUGUUAAGUCAGUUGUGAAAGUUUGCGGCUCAACCGUAACAUUGCAGUUGAAACUGGGAGUCGUGAGUACAGUAGAGGUGGGCGGAAUUCGUGGUGUAGCGGUGAAAUGCUUAGAUAUCACGAAGAACUCCGAUUGCGAAGGCAGCUUACUGGAGUGCAACUGACACUGAGGCUCGAAAGUGUGGGUAUCAAACAGGAUUAGAUACCCCUGUAGUC